AAAGAAUCGAAGAAGGUAAGACUGUAAGAAAGAAAGAAAGGAAGAAUGAUAGACAGACAUGUAGCUAGAGAUAGAUAGAUGGAUAGAUAGAUGGACAUACAAAUAGAUAGAUAGAUAGAUGGACAUACAAAUAGAUAGAUAGACAAAUAAAGAGAGGUAGAUAGAUAGAUAGAUAGAUAAAGAGAGGUAGAUAGAUAGAUAUUGAUAGACAGGGUUGGACAGACAAAUAAAUAAAUAGAUAUAUAUUGAUAGACAGGGAUGGAUAGAUAGAUAAAUAGAUAGAUAGAUAUAUAUUGAUAGACAGGGAUGGAUAGAUAGAUAGACAGGGAUAGACAGACAAAUAGAUAGAUAUUUUGAUAGACAGGGAUAGAUAGACAGAUAUAUAUUGAUAGACAGGGAUAGAUAGAUAGGGCUAGAUAGAUAGACAGAUAGAUAGAUAGAUAGAUAGAUAAAUAAAUAGACAGGGUUAGACAGACAAAUAGAUAGAUAUAUUGAUAGAGAUGGAUAGAUAGACAGACAGAUAGAUAUUGAUUGACAGAUAGUUAGAUAGUGAUUGGCAGGGAUAGAUAAAUAGAGAGGUAGAUAGAUAGUAAAACAGUCAGAUAUAUAGACAGACAGACAGAUAGAUAGAUAGAUAGAUAGAAAAUAGAGGCGGGGAAGAUGAAGCGAACUAGAUAGAAAGCAAGGAAGCAAGGGUCGUAGAAAAAGUGGGAAAUUGUUGAAGAAUAUGUAUAUUCAUGCAGAAGCGAGGAGCGAAAGUAAAAGUAAACAAAAGCCUUCGAGACCUCUUUGCAAAGAUUAAUAACAACAAUAACAAUAGUAGUGAUAAUAGUAAUAACAACAAUAGUAAUAACAAUAAUAAUAAUAAUAAUAAUAAUAAUAAUAACAAUGAUAAUGACAAUAAUAAAUAUAAUAAACACCAAAACAGGCUCUUGUAGUAGUAGUAGUAGUAGUAGUAGUAGUAGUAGUAGUUAUAGUAGUAGUGGUAGUAGUAGUAAUAGUAGUAGUGGUAGUAGUAGUAGUAGUAGCAGAAUUGCGGUGUUGCUUUUUUUGGUUUGUUUUACUUAUGUUGUUUAAAUUUGGAUUUUUUUUUUUCUGGUUUCUUUCGAAAAGUGGUUUCGCUAGCGAAUUUUAUAAUAAUGCUGCUAUUAUAAAUUUUGUCCGUAUUGUUGUUGUUGUUGUGGUGGUGGUAAUUGUUGUUGUUGUUAUUGUUGCAGUGAUGAUACUGCUGUUGUUGCUGCUGCUGCUGCUGCUAUUUGAAGUUUGAAAAAAAAAAAGAAGAAAAAAGAAAAAAAAAAUAUCUAAGAGUCGAAGCAGUGAAGAAGGUGGAGACUUCGGUUGCGUGCAGCGGGCGAAAGAGAGGAGUUUAUUAAACGAGAGACAGAGAGAGAGAGAAAAAGAGAGAGAUAAAAAGAGAGAGAGAGAGAGAGAGAGAUUGUGUGAGUGAGUGAGUGAAUGAGUGAGAGAGAAGGAGAAAAAUGAUCGUGAGAAAGAGAGUGAGAGAGAAUAAGGGGCAGCUAAGAAGUUCGUAUAAAAUUAGUUGAUGCAGUGAGUGUACGUCUACGGUCCGUGUAUGUUUGUGUGUAAGCGUGCGUCAGUGAGCACGUUAUAGUCGACAAGAGCGAAAGACCGCUGAGAGGACGGAGAAAAAGAAUGAGUGAAUGAGUUGCUUAAAGGAAUGAGUGAGUGACUUUGGCAAGGAUUUACACUUGUUGCUGUAUUAUUUUACCUGUUGCGCUACUUAAAAUUUU
rnacentral:lncRNA from 1 species